rnacentral:rRNA from 1 species
UACGUAGGGGGCAAGCGUUGUCCGGAUUUAUUGGGCGUAAAGAGCUCGUAGGCGGUUUGGCAAGUCGGGUGUGAAAUUUCGAGGCUCAACCUCGAAACGCCACUCGAUACUGCCAUGACUGGAGUCCGGUAGAGGAGUGCGGAAUUCCUGGUGUAGCGGUGAAAUGCGCAGAUAUCAGGAGGAACACCGGUGGCGAAGGCGGGUCUCUGGGCCGAAACUGACGCUGAGGAGCGAAAGCGUGGGGAGCAAACAGG